GGGGCUUCUGCGCGCUGUCGUCAGCCUCUCUCUGACUCUGUCUGUUGUUGUCAUCAAGAUGGAGUUCUUGUUGGGGAAUCCGUACAGCUCUCCCGUCGGACAGUGCAUUGAAAAAGCCACAGAUGGCUCCCUGCAGAAUGAAGACUGGACACUCAACAUGGAGAUCUGUGACAUCAUUAAUGAGACCGAGGAAGGGCCCAAAGAUGCCAUGCGUGCGUUGAAGAAGAGACUCAACGGCAACAGAAACUUCCGUGAAGUGAUGCUGGCUCUAACCGUUCUGGAGACUUGUGUGAAAAACUGCGGCCACCGUUUUCACAUCCACGUCACCAACAGAGACUUCAUCGAAGGUGUCUUGGUGAAGAUCAUCUCUCCGAAGACUAACCCUCCCGCUAUAGUACAGGACAAAGUGCUGGCACUGAUUCAGGCUUGGGCAGAUGCGUUCCGGAGUAGCCCAGACCUCACUGGAGUCGUGCAGAUUUACGAGGAGCUCAAGAGGAAAGGAAUCGAGUUUCCCAUGGCAAACCUGGACACUUUGUCGCCCAUCCACACACCACAGCGGGGAGUCCCAGAGUUAGAUCCAGGCACACACAUAUACAGAGCGCCCUCGCAGCCCAACACAGCUCCUCAGGCGUCCUCUACACCUGCAGCUGCUGCAACAGCUGACUUCAACCCCACCCAAAUCCCAUCUGUACCGGGACCCAUCACAGCAACCCCAGAGCAGAUCGCAAGGCUGAGAAGUGAACUGGACGUUGUGCGUGGGAAUAUUAAAGUGAUGUCGGAGAUGCUGACAGAGAUGGUGCCUGGCCAAGAAGACGCCUCUGAUCUCGAGCUACUCCAGGAGCUGAACAGGACGUGUCGAGCCAUGCAGCACAGGAUAGUGGAGCUCAUCUCUCGCGUCUCUAAUGAAGAGAUCACCGAAGAGCUGCUACACAUCAACGAUGAUUUAAACAACAUCUUCCUGCGCUACGAGAGGUAUGAGAGAUACAGAGUAGGCAGAGCAGCACAGAACAACGGGGUGCCGAAUGAGGCUUCAGAGGAGGAUAAUCUAAUAGAUCUGGGCCCUGGUUCUCCAGCAGUGGUCACUCCUGGGGUCAGCGCUACACCCACUCAUCCACCCACAUCCACCCUGCAGCCUCCUCCUCCUGCUGCUGCUUCAUCUCUCUCCACACAGCUGGCAGGACUUGAAGUGGGGGCAGACAGCGUCAGCGGGACUCUCAGCUCUCUGGCCGCUCUCAACCCUCAGGACGACUUUGACAUGUUCGCCCACACCAGGUCCAGCUCUCUGGCUGACCAGCGCAAAAACGUUAAAUACGAGGAGCCUCAGGCUCUGGUGGGCCUGGCGUCUGCUUUAGACAUCAGACAGCAUAAUGCCACUGGGCCGAAUGUAAAAGGUCCUAACGCUGAGUUGGAGCCCAUAGACAGCUGGCUCAUUACCCAAGGAAUGAUCCCCGUAUCGCAGUCCUCUGUCAUGGAUGACAUUGAGGAGUGGCUCUGUGCCGAUGUGGUGAGACUUCUUUACCUUGAUUUCAUUCUCUUCGUUUUCUUUGUUUCAAUGGUAACUUCUAACCAAGUCUGUUAGGUUCUAUUUUGGGAUUUAGUUUUCCACCUCAGUAGUACUAAUCAUUCAUUUCCGCCAGUCAUGUUGUCAGUCCACCAUAUGCCACUCAUGCACAUGAUACUAAUGAACAUUAACUAGAGAUAAAUGACCAAUUUAAGAUGUCCGUAAAGCUCCAGCCUGUGUUGUUGGAGUUACAGUGAGUGUGAUGUUGUUGAAUGUUGCAGUUCACUGGUGCCAGAUGCUUUCUCUCAUCUGUUCUUAUGGAGUUGGUUAUUGUUUGUGUUUGUACUGAUAUUCAGAUAAGUGUGUAGUUUGUUGAAGUCAGUAAAUGUGAUGUGAUGUUCGUCCACUGAACAGUGUUGGGGAAGUUACUUCGACGCAAACUACUGGGAUUCAGAAGUUGUUGCGUUGUAAAACUGAGCGGAUUGUAAGUAGUCAGUACUGAUUUAGUGAUAAUGCCUUUGUAAGAAAAUAGUAUUCAUUAUACUGUUUAAAAUUUUCAUUCAGUUCUGUUUAGGUAUGAGGUAUUAUCACUAAAUUCAGUAGCAUGCUACAGAAAAAGCUUGACUAUUUCAGAAACCUGUCUAUUGUCACAGUUAAUGUCAAUGUCAAUACGUCCAUUAGGUUUCUCCCCAGCACUGACCUAUUGUCAUAAAUAAUAGGGAAAAUGCAUACUUAAAUAUAUACCUUUGUUUAUAAAAAUGUCACAUUGUGAAGUGGUUUUCCAGCUGAAUGGUAAGUAGUUGUUCAUUCUGUGUUUAUAUGGCACAAUGUGGCAUACAAGUAAUAAAACUGACUGGUCUGAUGUGUUAAUAAUUGUAUACUCUUGACUUCUUUAAACAGAAGGGUGAAGAGGCCGAGGAAGGAGUCAUGAGUGAAGAGUUCGACAAGUUCUUAGAGCGGCGGGCCAAAAGCGCAGACAAGGCUUUACCGUUGGCCCCUGCUGGAGAGCCCAGAGCUCCCCUGAGCACGUCUAGCAGCAACCGCAGGAA